UACGUAGGGGGCAACCGUUGUCCGGAUUUAUUGGGCGUAAAGAGCGUGUAGGCGGUUAGGUAGGUCCGUUGUGAAAACUCGAGGCUCAACCUCGAGACGCCGAUGGAAACCAUCUGACUAGAGUCCGGAAGAGGAGAGUGGAAUUCCUGGUGUAGCGGUGAAAUGCGCAGAUAUCAGGAAGAACACCCGUGGCUAAGGCGGCUCUCUGGGACGGUACUGACGCUGAGACGCGAAAGCGUGGGGAGCGAACAGG
rnacentral:rRNA from 1 species